AUACGGAGGAUGCGAGCGUUAUCCGGAUUUAUUGGGUUUAAAGGGAGCGUAGGUGGGAUAUUAAGUCAGCUGUGAAAGUUUGGGGCUCAACCUUAAAAUUGCAGUUGAUACUGGUUUCCUUGAGUACGGUACAGGUGGGCGGAAUUCGUGGUGUAGCGGUGAAAUGCUUAGAUAUCACGAAGAACUCCGAUCGCGAAGGCAGCUCACCGGGCCGGAACUGACACUGAUGCUCGAAAGUGCGGGUAUCAAACAGGAUUAGAUACCCUGGUAGUCCGCACAGUAAACGAUGGAUACUCGCUGUCGGCGAUAUACGGUCGGUGGCCAAGCGAAAGCGUUAAGUAUCCCACCUGGGGAGUACGCCGGCAACGGUGAAACUCAAAUGAAUUGACGGGG
rnacentral:rRNA from 1 species